rnacentral:miRNA from 10 species
CCUCCUCAAACAUUCGUCACAAU